UUGAUUUAGGAUUUAGGGUUUAGGGUUUGUUUUAGGGUUUAGGAUUUGGAUAGGGUUUGGUUUAUGGUUUACGGUUUGGAUUAGGAUUUGAUUUAGGGUUUAGGAUUUGGAUAGGAUUUGAUUUAGGAUUUAGGAUUUGAUUAGGGUUUGGUUUAGGGUUUAGGAUUUGAAUUAGGAUUUGGUUAGGAAUUAAGGUUUGAUUAGGGUUUGGUUUAGGAUUUAGGAUUUACCUAGGAUUUGAUUAGGGUUUGAUUUAGGAUUUAGGAUUUAUCUAGGAUUUGAUUAAGGUUGAAUUAGGAUUAGGAUUUGGUUAGAAUUUAAGGUUCUAUUAGAUUUUUAUUAGGGUUUAAUUAAGUUUUCUUUAAUAUUCUUUUAUAUUUCUUUAGGAUUUCCUUGUGUUUUUUUUAUAAUUUCAAUAAAAU
rnacentral:lncRNA from 1 species